rnacentral:rRNA from 1 species
AGAGUUUGAUCCUGGCUCAGGACGAACGCUGGCGGCGUGCCUAACACAUGCAAGUCGAACGAGAAUCUUUGAACAGAUCUUUUCGGAGUGACGUUCAAAGAGGAAAGUGGCGGACGGGCGAGUAACGCGUGAGUAACCUGCCCAUAAGAGGGGGAUAAUCCAUGGAAACGUGGACUAAUACCGCAUAUUGUAGUUAAGUUGCAUGACUUGAUUAUGAAAGAUUUAUCGCUUAUGGAUGGACUCGCGUCAGAUUAGAUAGUUGGUGAGGUAACGGCUCACCAAGUCAACGAUCUGUAGCCGAACUGAGAGGUUGAUCGGCCGCAUUGGGACUGAGACACGGCCCAGACUCCUACGGGAGGCAGCAGUGGGGAAUAUUGCGCAAUGGGGGCAACCCUGACGCAGCAACGCCGCGUGCAGGAAGAAGGUCUUCGGAUUGUAAACUGUUGUCGCAAGGGAAGAAGACAGUGACGGUACCUUGUGAGAAAGUCACGGCUAACUACGUGCCAGCAGCCGCGGUAAUACGUAGGUGACAAGCGUUGUCCGGAUUUACUGGGUGUAAAGGGCGCGUAGGCGGACUGUCAAGUCAGUCGUGAAAUACCGGGGCUUAACCCCGGGGCUGCGAUUGAAACUGACAGCCUUGAGUAUCGGAGAGGAAAGCGGAAUUCCUAGUGUAGCGGUGAAAUGCGUAGAUAUUAGGAGGAACACCAGUGGCGAAGGCGGCUUUCUGGACGACAACUGACGCUGAGGCGCGAAAGUGUGGGGAGCAAACAGGAUUAGAUACCCUGGUAGUCCACACCGUAAACGAUGGAUACUAGGUGUAGGAGGUAUCGACC